CAACACCAAGUGGUUGCUCCUCCUGCCAUGUGCAGGCUCUGAAAGCCUUCCACCUCCACCAGCACCUGGACUCCCUUGCACUUCCCACCCAGCCACCACGUGCUGAUCUUUUACUCCUCACCUGCUGGCACUCCACUAUAGAGGGUGACAUGUUUGUGCAGCAGCAGCAGACAGCUCCAGCCCGGCCAAACCAGAGAACAUCUCUACUCUCCAUCGCCAAACCACAUCUUCUUCAAGGGAAGUCUUACAGCUACAUCAGCAAUUGGCUUUGCCAAGUAACCUAGAUGAGAACAGUCGAGAAUAUGAACUAUGGCAGUGCCACUGCAGAGGAGAGAACAGAUGGACGUGAUACAAGAAGGUCCUACACAUAACAGAAGUUGAUGAAUAUUCAGAAGAGCACAGCUCUAAUGUCGAAAUUGUAGAGAAAGAAAAAUACACAUAUUUCAGAGCAUAAAAAGGAUAUAGAUACCUACAUUUACCUAGACUAUAAUUCCCAUGAAGGGUGCUGCUUGAACUGAAACUGCCAGUGACUUUCCACAUCCCUCAUCCUAUUUCAUUACAGAAACACUCAUAAAGACACAAUUUUCUCCUAUCAAUAAAUAUGUUUGAUGUUCCAUAGAAGUUCUAUGUAAUACAUGCAGAACAAUGGAGUCAGACUCUGGGAUAAAUUAUUACCACAACAACUUUCAUUGACGAGGCUGCCUCUGGAUGCUCUCCUGUGGAUGUGAUGUGGAUGCUCAGUGUGAAAGCAGGAUGAACAAUAAAGCCUAAAGACACAUAUACCAUGCAAUCAAGUAGUAAUUUCAGAACUAGACACUUCAUGUGGAAAACGUCAUGCGGAAUAUAUCUCCACUAGUACAGUCGAGCUAAGUCCUUGAUUAAUAUACAGAAGAGAAAAGUUUAUUUCUUUUUUUCUCAUCAUUUUGUAUCAUUUACAUAUUGUACAAAUAAAAUGUUACUGCAUCUCAGAAGAAAAAAGAUUUACUAAAAUGUUUGUCAACAAAAUCUCACAGUAAUUUUGUCACUGAAUUUCUGUUACACUGCAUUUCUCAUGAAGCUUAGUACAAGUUCAGUGAGAAUUACUGAAGCCCACCAUCAGGUAAGUUCUGAUAAUCGCUUGGAUCACAGAGAAAAGUUCAUAAAGUCAAUUCUAAGUAUUGGUAAAAUAUAUUUAUAAUGCUCAAAUAACA